UACGGAGGGUGCAAGCGUUAUCCGGAUUCACUGGGUUUAAAGGGAGUGUAGGCGGUUGAGAAAGUCUUCUGUGAAAUCUACGGGCUCAGCCUGUAACGUGCAGAGGAAACUACUCGGCUUGAGUGUCGGAGAGGAUAGGGGAAUACCCGGUGUAGAGGUGAAAUUCGUAGAGAUCGGGUGGAACACCAGUGGCGAAGGCGCCUGUCUGGCUGACAACUGACGCUGAGACUCGAAAGCAUGGGGAGCAAACAGG
rnacentral:rRNA from 1 species